rnacentral:tRNA from 1 species
ACAGGUAUGAUGAAAUUGGUAAACAUGUUAGGUUUAGAUUCUAAUAAUUAAAAUAUUUUGUAGGUUCGAAUCCUACUACCUGUA